AACGAACGCUGGCGGCAGGCUUAACACAUGCAAGUCGAACGGGCCCUUCGGGGUCAGUGGCAGACGGGUGAGUAACGCGUGGGAACGUGCCCUUCAGUUUGGGAUAACCCAGGGAAACUUGGGCUAAGACCGGAUACGUGCGAGAGCAGCAAGAUUUAUCGCUGAAGGAUCGGCCCGCGUCUGAUUAGCUGGUUAGUAGGGUAAUGGCCUACCAAGGCGACGAUCAGUAGCUGGUCUGAGAGGAUGAUCAGCCAAAUUGGGACUGAGACAAGGCACAAACUCCUACGGGAGGCAGCAGUGGGGAAUAUUGGACAAUGGGCGCAAGCCUGAUCCAGCCAUGCCGCGUGAGUGAUGAAGGCCUUAGGGUUGUAAAGCUCUUUCAGUGGGGACGAUAAUGACGGUACCCGCAGAAGAAGCCCCGGCUAACUUCGUGCCAGCCGCCGCGGUAA
rnacentral:rRNA from 1 species